rnacentral:rRNA from 1 species
CUGCUGCCUUCCGUAGGAGUCUGGUCCGUGUCUCAGUACCAGUGUGGGGGACCUUCCUCUCAGAACCCCUACGCAUCGUCGGUUAGGUGGGCCGUUACCCCGCCUACUGCCUAAUGCGCCGCAUGCCCAUCCCUGUCCGGCCGAAGCCUUUCCUGCCUCCGGGAUGCCCCGGUGGCAUGUACGCGGGUUUAGCCCGCCUUUCGGCGGGUUGUCCCCCUGCAUAGGGCAGGUUCCAUACGUGUUACUCACCCGUGCGCCGGUCGCCGGCAGGCGAAAG